UUCAUACACGGUUUCGGCCAGUGCACACUUUAAAAUUGCAGCUUUCUAUCCUUUCCUAUUACACUUCUCAAUCAACCACUUGAGUUUGGAGGAAAAUUUUGGCUAGCAAUGAUGCUAGACCCCGCGCCAGUUUUAUUUUAUGGUUGACUUGUCAAGAUCUCCUUGCUACAAAAGAUAGAUCGAAGAGAUUUUAGAUUCUAGAGAAUGAUGAUUGUUGCUUCUGCAAGAGCCAAGACGCACAAAAACCCUAAGAAAUCAAACCCUAAAACUCCACUAUAAGCCUUACUAGUGUUGAAUUUGAAGGGGAGACUUGUGAAAAGAAGUUUAGAGCACUCAAAAAUCAGCAACAAAAAAUCGGAAAAGAAACCAAACACAACAACAACCACCACACCAUUAUCACUAUUCAUCAUCCUAUUACAACAACAAUAACAAUCACCAUAACCACCACCUUUUCAUAUCAACCAUCACCGUCACCUUCACCUUCAUUAGCAACAACUCCCAUUAUAAACUUUGUAAGUUUGGUGUUUGUAAGUAUUUAUUCUACUAUUAUUUAAGAUGUAAAAUAAUAUGUAUGCUUAGAAUGAUGCAAAACUCAUGUAAAUAUUAUUGUUUUUUUUUUAUAAAUAGUUUAUGCUUUG
rnacentral:lncRNA from 1 species